GGAGAGACCACCCAGAGACAUGAGGGUCCAACUUCAGGUCACCCGACUAAUCCUGGGAAAAGUCUCCAGGCUCUAACCCGGCACGGCCUCAGCCCUAGGCCACCUGCCCAAUGCCACCAUCUGUGGAUACCUUCAGCUGCCAUGCUCGCCACUCCAUUCCAGGCCCAGUUGGCACCCCUGACAUUCUUCUGCUUGCCAUGCAGAUGCUGGCUCCUGUAGACGCUGCCUGGCUCCGCUGCUUCUGUGUUAGCCUCCACUCAGUGACUUCCGAGGAAGCAGGAGAAACUUUGUUAAAUCAAGAAAAUAUUUUUAUUUAUUUUUUUCUUCUUGUUUAAAGUCUGAGUCUGAACUUAGAAAACCCGGGGUGAGAACUUAUUUCCAGCAGAUUCUAUUUCUUGGUGCCACUUCAUCUAUUAAUAGUUUCUGGCUUUUCCAUUCUCCCCACAGCUGUGCUUUCUAAAUUCUGAUACCCUCGCUGAUCUUCAGCAAUGUGGCGGCUGUGGCUCUCUGAUUAGACAUGUGGUCUAAUGUGCUGCUCUCAUCAGACUGGUCGCCACCUGGAUAACGAUCCAGAUGUUUAUCACCAUAGAGCAAGUCGGCUCACAGAGCGCUUUGGGUGCACUGUUCUGUUAAUCCUCAAAAUACCCUCACAAGACAGUAUGGCAUCACAGUCCUUCAUCAGGCACCUGUUAUCAUUAGCGCAAGGUGAAAGCUCAGCAUAGAGGCUGAGCGAGCUUGUAAGCUUGUCCCUCAGAGACUACGGGCUUCUCUUGAGACCAUGUUUAACAUGUGCUCUCUCCAGAAGACCAGCUUAUGCCCUACCACACCCUGUCCUGUCUAGCUGUCCUGUCACACCCUCUACACUUUUGUAAUUCUUGUCAUAUUCUGUGUCUUCUUCACAGUCUCCUCUGGUCUACAAACCCUUGUUCAGCUGUGGUAACAAAUGCUGAUUAUUUCCUUCCAAUUAAUUUCUCAGUGUUAACAAACUUUAUCUAUAAUCAGGCCUUCACAAUAAAUCUAAUAUUAUUGCUACUCUUUUUCAGUUUCCCCAGUUUGUUCUAAUACAGCCUUCUAAGUUUUUUCUCCCCUCAAAUUUGACACUAUUUUUAAACAUCAUGUAGUCGACAAGGAUAUAUUUCCUUUUCCAUGUGUACGAUGGAUACAGCUCUGUCGUAAAGUUCAACAGGUGAAAAUACCAUUCCAGUUGGGAGGAUGAAGACAGAAACAACCUAAAAGAGACCUGGGAUUCCAUGCACCAACAGAAGAGGAAGGGCCAGAGGGAUAGAAAAGUGCUGAACAUUCAGAUGGGCACCGGCUCCUUUGUAGACUUUGAACUGCUGACAUGAUAGGUAGAGUAUUUAGGUACUACGUUUAGGAGAGCAUCGUUGUUCAGAACCAGUCACCUGAUGACUCUGGAAAUGAUGUGUGUUACUCUGUAAGA